UACGUAGGGUGCAGGCGUUAAUCGGAAUUACUGGGCGUAAAGCGUGCGCAGGCGGUUCGCUAAGACCGAUGUGAAAUCCCCGGGCUUAACCUGGGAAUUGCAUUUGUGACUGUACGGCUAGAGUGUGUCAGAGGGGGGUAGAAUUCCACGUGUAGCAGUGAAAUGCGUAGAGAUGUGGAGGAAUACCGAUGGCGAAGGCAGCCCCCUGGGAUAACACUGACGCUCAUGCACGAAAGCGUGGGGAGCAAACAGG
rnacentral:rRNA from 1 species